GAAAUCGAAAACCUUCUUCCAGCGCAAACAGGCAUUCAAGAAUGGAAGCUAGAGACGUGUAGUGAAACAGAGUUGAAUUUUACAUUUCUUGACCGAAGUCUUCGCAUAAAUGUAAAGUUUGAAGACGACCAGGAUACUGUGAAGGAUAUUGACCUUGCGACCGACUUACCAGGCACCAGUGCACCCAUGAAAACACUCGCCAUUUCUUUGAUCAAAGAGCAAUUUGCCUACCGUCAACUUUCUUCGCUAUUUUCGAAUCGGAGGAAAAUCUUAAAGCUCCUUCAUCAAGUGUCGUACGCAAGUGUUCGAGCGAGGAUGUUGGUGAAAGCAAUCAAAAAAUUUACUAUUAAUCACAUCAUUGUAACUGAAGACAAGAUUUUGAAGACAGAAUUUUCGAGUUACGAAAGGUUUUUGA